rnacentral:sRNA from 1 species
AGUCACGGGAUGGAACUGUGUUCCAGCGCACAGCGGAAUUGCCUGGAGUCUCCCAGGGCUCCCUCUGGGUCUUCUGAGGGGAGAGGCUCCUGUGUGCUCUGGUGUGGCCGGCACAGCCAGGCUGAGAAGCUGCAUCCUGGCCUCGGAGUGUGGCUGUCGAUCAGGAAUCUUCCUCGACCUGGAGCUUCAUGCAGGCCAUGCUGAGCCAGCCCAGGAUGGAGAGCCUGGACACCCCCGCGGCCUACAGCCUGGGCCUCACGCUCCUGGGACUGGGCGUCGUGCUCGUGCUCUCCAGCUUCUUUGCACUGGGGUUCACUGGAACUUUCCUAGGUGAUUACUUCGGGAUCCUCAAGGAGGCGAGAGUGACCGUGUUCCCCUUCAACAUCCUGGACAACCCCAUGUACUGGGGAAGCACAGCCAACUACCUGGGCUGGGCCAUCAUGCACGCCAGCCCCACGGGCCUGCUCCUGACGGUGCUGGUGGCCCUCACCUACAUAGUGGCCCUCCUAUACGAAGAGCCCUUCACCGCUGAGAUCUACCGGCAGAAAGCCUCCGGGUCCCACAAGAGGAGCUGAUUGAGCUGCAACAGCUUUGCUGAAGGCCUGGCCAGCCUCCUGGCCUGCCCCAAGUGGCAGGCCCUGCGCAGGGCGAGAAUGGUGCCUGCUGCUCAGGGCUCGCCCCCGGCGUGGGCUGCUCCAGUGCCUUGGAACCUGCUGCCUUGGGGACCCUGGACGUGCCGACAUAUGGCCAUUGAGCUCCAACCCACACAUUCCCAUUCACCAAUAAAGGCACCCUGACCCCAA